rnacentral:sRNA from 1 species
AUUGCCGCAAAAUCGGCAACCAGGUUUGACAGCCUGAAUGUACAAGCGGACGACCGCUUUUUUAUCAUGCGGUUUUUUU